rnacentral:rRNA from 1 species
UACGGAGGGUGCUAGCGUUGUUCGGAAUUACUGGGCGUAAAGCGCACGUAGGCGGCUUUGUAUGUUAGAGGUGAAAGCCCGGAGCUCAACUCCGGAACUGCCUUUAAGACUGCAUCGCUUGAACGUCGGAGAGGUAAGUGGAAUUCCGAGUGUAGAGGUGAAAUUCGUAGAUAUUCGGAAGAACACCAGUGGCGAAGGCGACUUACUGGACGACUGUUGACGCUGAGGUGCGAAAGCGUGGGGAGCAAACAGG